GUCCUUUAGAUAAAAUAAUUUAAGGUCUGACCUGCCCACUGAAGUAUUUAACGGCCGCAGUAAUUUGACUGUGCAAAGGUAGCAUAAUCAUUAGUUUUUUAAUUAAAAGCUUGUAUGAAUGGUUGGACGAGAUAAAAUCUGUCUCUAAUUAAUAAUUAGAAUUUAAUUUUUAAGUUAAAAAGCUUAAAUUAAUAUAAAAGACGAGAAGACCCUAUAGAUCUUAAUAUAAUAUAUUAAAAUUUUAUUUAAGAUUAUUUUAUUAAUUUUAUUAUUUUAUAUUUUAUUGGGGUAAUAAAAAGAUUAAAUUAAUUCUUUUUUUUAUUUAACAAUUAUAAUUGAUUAUUUGAUCCAUUAUUAGUGAUUAUAAGAUUAAGUUACCUUAGGGAUAACAGCGUAAUUUUUUUAAAGAGUUCAUAUCGAUAAAAAAGUUUGCGACCUCGAUGUUGGAUUAAAAAUUAUUUUGGGUGUAGAAGUUCAAAAUUUUGGUCUGUUCGACCAUUAAAUUUUUACAUGAUCUGAGUUCAGACCGGUGUAAGCCAGGUCGGUUUCUAUCUUUAUUAAAUUAAUAUAUUUUAGUACGAAAGGACCAAAUAUUUAAUAUAUUUAUAUUUUUAUUUUGAUUAA
rnacentral:rRNA from 1 species